rfam:Herminiimonas arsenicoxydans chromosome, complete sequence.
AAGCUGCCUGCAUGUGUCGCUGAUCCGUCAGCACCAUGCCAGCAGCCAGGGUUUCCAGGCUGCCGCGGAUUCUCUCCGCGCCACCCGCCAGUCCGCCAUCGCAUCGAGUCUGCGGACGCGCGUCCUCGUGACGCCGAUGC